GGGUUGUGAGGUUAAGCGACUAAGCGUACACGGUGGAUGCCCUGGCAGUCAGAGGCGAUGAAGGACGUGCUAAUCUGCGAUAAGCGUCGGUAAGGUGAUAUGAACCGUUAUAACCGGCGAUUUCCGAAUGGGGAAACCCAGUGUGUUUCGACACACUAUCAUUAACUGAAUCCAUAGGUUAAUGAGGCGAACCGGGGGAACUGAAACAUCUAAGUACCCCGAGGAAAAGAAAUCAACCGAGAUUCCCCCAGUAGCGGCGAGCGAACGGGGAGCAGCCCAGAGCCUGAAUCAGUGUGUGUGUUAGUGGAAGCGUCUGGAAAGGCGCGCGAUACAGGGUGACAGCCCCGUACACAAAAAUGCACAUAUUGUGAGCUCGAUGAGUAGGGCGGGACACGUGGUAUCCUGUCUGAAUAUGGGGGGACCAUCCUCCAAGGCUAAAUACUCCUGACUGACCGAUAGUGAACCAGUACCGUGAGGGAAAGGCGAAAAGAACCCCGGCGAGGGGAGUGAAAAAGAACCUGAAACCGUGUACGUACAAGCAGUGGGAGCACGCUUAGGCGUGUGACUGCGUACCUUUUGUAUAAUGGGUCAGCGACUUAUAUUCUGUAGCAAGGUUAACCGAAUAGGGGAGCCGAAGGGAAACCGAGUCUUAACUGGGCGUUAAGUUGCAGGGUAUAGACCCGAAACCCGGUGAUCUAGCCAUGGGCAGGUUGAAGGUUGGGUAACACUAACUGGAGGACCGAACCGACUAAUGUUGAAAAAUUAGCGGAUGACUUGUGGCUGGGGGUGAAAGGCCAAUCAAACCGGGAGAUAGCUGGUUCUCCCCGAAAGCUAUUUAGGUAGCGCCUCGUGAAUUCAUCUCCGGGGGUAGAGCACUGUUUCGGCAAGGGGGUCAUCCCGACUUACCAACCCGAUGCAAACUGCGAAUACCGGAGAAUGUUAUCACGGGAGACACACGGCGGGUGCUAACGUCCGUCGUGAAGAGGGAAACAACCCAGACCGCCAGCUAAGGUCCCAAAGUCAUGGUUAAGUGGGAAACGAUGUGGGAAGGCCCAGACAGCCAGGAUGUUGGCUUAGAAGCAGCCAUCAUUUAAAGAAAGCGUAAUAGCUCACUGGUCGAGUCGGCCUGCGCGGAAGAUGUAACGGGGCUAAACCAUGCACCGAAGCUGCGGCAGCGACGCUUAUGCGUUGUUGGGUAGGGGAGCGUUCUGUAAGCCUGUGAAGGUGUGCUGUGAGGCAUGCUGGAGGUAUCAGAAGUGCGAAUGCUGACAUAAGUAACGAUAAAGCGGGUGAAAAGCCCGCUCGCCGGAAGACCAAGGGUUCCUGUCCAACGUUAAUCGGGGCAGGGUGAGUCGACCCCUAAGGCGAGGCCGAAAGGCGUAGUCGAUGGGAAACAGGUUAAUAUUCCUGUACUUGGUGUUACUGCGAAGGGGGGACGGAGAAGGCUAUGUUGGCCGGGCGACGGUUGUCCCGGUUUAAGCGUGUAGGCUGGUUUUCCAGGCAAAUCCGGAAAAUCAAGGCUGAGGCGUGAUGACGAGGCACUACGGUGCUGAAGCAACAAAUGCCCUGCUUCCAGGAAAAGCCUCUAAGCAUCAGGUAACAUCAAAUCGUACCCCAAACCGACACAGGUGGUCAGGUAGAGAAUACCAAGGCGCUUGAGAGAACUCGGGUGAAGGAACUAGGCAAAAUGGUGCCGUAACUUCGGGAGAAGGCACGCUGAUAUGUAGGUGAAGCGACUUGCUCGUGGAGCUGAAAUCAGUCGAAGAUACCAGCUGGCUGCAACUGUUUAUUAAAAACACAGCACUGUGCAAACACGAAAGUGGACGUAUACGGUGUGACGCCUGCCCGGUGCCGGAAGGUUAAUUGAUGGGGUCAGCGCAAGCGAAGCUCUUGAUCGAAGCCCCGGUAAACGGCGGCCGUAACUAUAACGGUCCUAAGGUAGCGAAAUUCCUUGUCGGGUAAGUUCCGACCUGCACGAAUGGCGUAAUGAUGGCCAGGCUGUCUCCACCCGAGACUCAGUGAAAUUGAACUCGCUGUGAAGAUGCAGUGUACCCGCGGCAAGACGGAAAGACCCCGUGAACCUUUACUAUAGCUUGACACUGAACAUUGAGCCUUGAUGUGUAGGAUAGGUGGGAGGCUUAGAAGUGUGGACGCCAGUCUGCAUGGAGCCGACCUUGAAAUACCACCCUUUAAUGUUUGAUGUUCUAACGUUGACCCGUAAUCCGGGUUGCGGACAGUGUCUGGUGGGUAGUUUGACUGGGGCGGUCUCCUCCUAAAGAGUAACGGAGGAGCACGAAGGUUGGCUAAUCCUGGUCGGACAUCAGGAGGUUAGUGCAAUGGCAUAAGCCAGCUUGACUGCGAGCGUGACGGCGCGAGCAGGUGCGAAAGCAGGUCAUAGUGAUCCGGUGGUUCUGAAUGGAAGGGCCAUCGCUCAACGGAUAAAAGGUACUCCGGGGAUAACAGGCUGAUACCGCCCAAGAGUUCAUAUCGACGGCGGUGUUUGGCACCUCGAUGUCGGCUCAUCACAUCCUGGGGCUGAAGUAGGUCCCAAGGGUAUGGCUGUUCGCCAUUUAAAGUGGUACGCGAGCUGGGUUUAGAACGUCGUGAGACAGUUCGGUCCCUAUCUGCCGUGGGCGCUGGAGAACUGAGGGGGGCUGCUCCUAGUACGAGAGGACCGGAGUGGACGCAUCACUGGUGUUCGGGUUGUCAUGCCAAUGGCACUGCCCGGUAGCUAAAUGCGGAAGAGAUAAGUGCUGAAAGCAUCUAAGCACGAAACUUGCC
rnacentral:rRNA from 1 species